ensembl:lncRNA
GGAGGACAUGUCAAAUAUGGUUAUGCCAGGUUUGGGCUGGAUAUUUCUGUUUGCCAUUGUCGCCCUAGGUGUCUCCAUCCUGGGAAUCUAUGCUGCAUGUUCUGAGAAGGUCCACAUGCUCACAAUAUUCGCAGGCCUCAUGGGGAUUGGAAUGAUCAUCAUGAUGAUCUUUGGCAUCAUUGCAGCUGUUGAAAGAAACCAGUUCAAAUGCUGCAGAAUAGUGAAUGCUAAGGACUGGCACGACCAAAACCCUGAUUCUUGUGAAUGCAGGUCUUCAAGAGGAUAUGAAUGCACAUCAAAACCUCAGUCCUGUAGGGAGUUCGUCCAAACCGAGAUCACUAUGGGCUUCUGCUUUGGAUUUGCUGUCAUAGCACUGCUGGGCCUGCUCAUUACCUUCUUCAUGAUUUAUCAGGUCAAACAUAAUGACACAUUGUCAUGAGGAGCUACUGAAGUGAAGCACCAUACACUCUGACUUUAACCUUUGCACUGAGUUAGGCUGUAACAAAUUGACUCAGAGGUCAGGACAUGACGGUGUUUUUUUAAAAUUUUGUUUUAUGAAAAAAAAGUAAUAUUUGCUUUUAUAGAGAAGGAGAAGCAGGAGAUGUAUGGCACUGUGGCAUGCUGCAGGACCUUUUACUUGCAGCUGUUUUAUGUACAACAUAAAUAGCAAAACAUUUAUUUUUUCAAAGGCCUCAUAUCACUUUUAUGUUAUUUUACGUUACGUAGUAUUUUAGUAAUCCUAUGCAGAAACAGUUGAGAAAAUAUACUGAAAUCUUUUGUCAUUUGUGGAGACUGAAGUUGUUGAGGAUAGUUUUGUCAUUUGUGGAGACUGAAGUUGUUGAGGAUAGUAGAUUUUAUUGGUUAAAGUAAAAAAAAAAGAAAUAAAGAAGAAAACAACUAAGGUCAAAACUUGAAUUGAAUUCCAGAAACAUCCAGUUAAAUAUCUGGAUGGCGUCAAACUGGAAAAAAAAUUAAGUUUUUUUCAAGUAUGACAUUAAAGCAUUUUUAAGUGUGCUAUAAUGACCAUAGGCUCAUGGACAUGAUUCAUGCACCACAUGACAUUAAGUAUUCUCUUACUUUAAAUCUUAUUGGAGGUAAAUUUCUAGCACUAUGGUAGUGUAUGAAACAAAAAAAUUGUCUUAGUUACAAGCUAGCUAACUUCUUUAUUAACUGUCAAGUUUAUUGUUUAUUUAAUAAUCUUAAUUAUUAUUAUGUUCAAAUUAAAG